GACGAACGCUGGCGGCGUGCUUAACACAUGCCAGUCGAACGGAAAGGCCCUGCUUUUGUGGGGUGCUCGAGUGGCGAACGGGUGAGUAACACGUGAGUAACCUGCCCUUGACUUUGGGAUAACUUCAGGAAACUGGGGCUAAUACCGGAUAGGAGCUCCUGCUGCAUGGUGGGGGUUGGAAAGUUUCGGCGGUUGGGGAUGGACUGGCGGGGUAUCAGCUUGUUGGUGGGGUAGUGGCUUACCAAGGCUUUGAUGGGUAGCCGGCCGGAGAGGGUGACCGGCAAAGAUGGGGAUGAGAGACGGCGCAGAAGCCUACGGGAGGCAGCAGUGGGGAAGAUUGCACAAGGGGCGGGAGUCUGAAGCAGCCACGGCGGGGGCGGGAUGACGGGGUGCGGGUGGUAAAACGCGUGCAGCAGGGGAGAAGCGUGGGGGGACGGGACCGUCAGAAGAAGCACCGGCGAACUACGUG
rnacentral:rRNA from 1 species